rnacentral:lncRNA from 1 species
AAAAGUCAAGGAGGUAUAUCAUGAAGCUCCAUUCCAGGUAUUCCUCCUUGAUUCAGUCAGCAGAGAGGGAGAAUUUCCAUGCCAUAGUGGAUAUGGCUCAGAGGAUGGAGGCUAGUGCUAUCAUCGAAGGGAAAGUCAAGCAGUCAGUGGCACAGCCUUCUGGUUCCAAGACCCCAGGUGGGGGAAGGAUGGACUCUUCUUCUCUGAGUUCAGCUAGUAAGAGGUGGAGCAGUACCACCAAGAAGCCAAAGAAGAACAAGUUCUGAAAUAAGAUCAAGUCUGGUCUGGGAUUAGGAAGUGGUUCGAGCUCAGGUGCAGAUAAUGCAGUAUGCAAGAAGUGUGGGAAGCCGCACAAAGGAGUAUGU